rnacentral:rRNA from 1 species
GGGUUGUGAGGUUAAGCGAACAAGCGUACACGGUGGAUGCCCUGGCAGUCAGAGGCGAUGAAGGACGUGCUAAUCUGCGAAAAGCGCCGGUAAGGUGAUAUGAACCGUUAUAGCCGGCGAUGUCCGAAUGGGGAAACCCAGUGUGAUUCGUCACACUAUCUCAGCAUGAAUACAUAGUGCUGUGAGGCGAACCGGGGGAACUGAAACAUCUAAGUACCCCGAGGAAAAGAAAUCAACCGAGAUUCCCCCAGUAGCGGCGAGCGAACGGGGAACAGCCCAGAGCCUGAAUCAGCUUGUGUGUCAGUGGAACGGUCUGGAAAGGCCGGCGAUACAGGGUGACAGCCCCGUACACGAAGGCACACAGGCUGUGAGCUCGAUGAGUAGGGCGGGACACGUGAUAUCCUGUCUGAAGAUGGGGGGACCAUCCUCCAAGGCUAAAUACUCCUGACUGACCGAUAGUGAACCAGUACCGUGAGGGAAAGGCGAAAAGAACCCCGGCGAGGGGAGUGAAACAGAACCUGAAACCGUGUACGUACAAGCAGUGGGAGCCUUCGUAAGAGGGUGACUGCGUACCUUUUGUAUAAUGGGUCAGCGACUUAUAUUCUGUAGCAAGGUUAACCGUAUAGGGGAGCCGAAGGGAAACCGAGUCUUAAUUGGGCGUUAAGUUGCAGGGUAUAGACCCGAAACCCGGUGAUCUAGCCAUGGGCAGGUUGAAGGUUGGGUAACACUAACUGGAGGACCGAACCGACUAAUGUUGAAAAAUUAGCGGAUGACCUGUGGCUGGGGGUGAAAGGCCAAUCAAACCGGGAGAUAGCUGGUUCUCCCCGAAAGCUAUUUAGGUAGCGCCUCGUGAACUCAUCUUCGGGGGUAGAGCACUGUUUCGGCUAGGGGGCCAUCCCGGCUUACCAACCCGAUGCAAACUACGAAUACCGAAGAAUGUUAUCACGGGAGACACACGGCGGGUGCUAACGUCCGUCGUGAAGAGGGAAACAACCCAGACCGCCAGCUAAGGUCCCAAAGUCAUGGUUAAGUGGGAAACGAUGUGGGAAGGCACAGACAGCCAGGAUGUUGGCUUAGAAGCAGCCAUCAUUUAAAGAAAGCGUAAUAGCUCACUGGUCGAGUCGGCCUGCGCGGAAGAUGUAACGGGGCUAAACCAUGCACCGAAGCUGCGGCAGCGACACUAUGUGUUGUUGGGUAGGGGAGCGUUCUGUAAGCCUGUGAAGGUGUGCUGUGAGGCAUGCUGGAGGUAUCAGAAGUGCGAAUGCUGACAUAAGUAACGAUAAAGCGGGUGAAAAGCCCGCUCGCCGGAAGACCAAGGGUUCCUGUCCAACGUUAAUCGGGGCAGGGUGAGUCGACCCCUAAGGCGAGGCCGAAAGGCGUAGUCGAUGGGAAACAGGUUAAUAUUCCUGUACUUGGUGUUACUGCGAAGGGGGGACGGAGAAGGCUAUGUUGGCCGGGCGACGGUUGUCCCGGUUUAAGCGUGUAGGUGUGUGUUCCAGGUAAAUCCGGUUCACUUUAACACUGAGGCGUGAUGACGAGGCACUACGGUGCUGAAGUAACAAAUGCCCUGCUUCCAGGAAAAGCCUCUAAGCAUCAGGUAACACGAAAUCGUACCCCAAACCGACACAGGUGGUCAGGUAGAGAAUACCAAGGCGCUUGAGAGAACUCGGGUGAAGGAACUAGGCAAAAUGGUGCCGUAACUUCGGGAGAAGGCACGCUGACAUGUAGGUGAAGCCCCUGCGGGUGGAGCUGAAGUCAGUCGAAGAUACCAGCUGGCUGCAACUGUUUAUUAAAAACACAGCACUGUGCAAACACGAAAGUGGACGUAUACGGUGUGACGCCUGCCCGGUGCCGGAAGGUUAAUUGAUGGGGUUAUCGCAAGAGAAGCUCCUGAUCGAAGCCCCGGUAAACGGCGGCCGUAACUAUAACGGUCCUAAGGUAGCGAAAUUCCUUGUCGGGUAAGUUCCGACCUGCACGAAUGGCGUAAUGAUGGCCAGGCUGUCUCCACCCGAGACUCAGUGAAAUUGAACUCGCUGUGAAGAUGCAGUGUACCCGCGGCAAGACGGAAAGACCCCGUGAACCUUUACUACAGCUUGACACUGAACAUUGAGCCUUGAUGUGUAGGAUAGGUGGGAGGCUUUGAAGCGUGGACGCCAGUCUGCGUGGAGCCAACCUUGAAAUACCACCCUUUAAUGUUUGAUGUUCUAACCUGGCGCCAUAAUCUGGCGUGGGGACAGUGUCUGGUGGGUAGUUUGACUGGGGCGGUCUCCUCCCAAAGUGUAACGGAGGAGCACGAAGGUCAGCUAAUCCUGGUCGGACAUCAGGAGGUUAGUGCAAUGGCAUAAGCUGGCUUGACUGCGAGAGUGACGGCUCGAGCAGGUGCGAAAGCAGGUCAUAGUGAUCCGGUGGUUCUGUAUGGAAGGGCCAUCGCUCAACGGAUAAAAGGUACUCCGGGGAUAACAGGCUGAUACCGCCCAAGAGUUCAUAUCGACGGCGGUGUUUGGCACCUCGAUGUCGGCUCAUCACAUCCUGGGGCUGAAGUAGGUCCCAAGGGUAUGGCUGUUCGCCAUUUAAAGUGGUACGCGAGCUGGGUUUAGAACGUCGUGAGACAGUUCGGUCCCUAUCUGCCGUGGGCGCUGGAGAAUUGAGGGGGGCUGCUCCCAGUACGAGAGGACCGGAGUGGACGCAUCACUGGUGUUCGGGUUGUCAUGCCAAUGGCACUGCCCGGUAGCUAAAUGCGGAAGAGAUAAGUGCUGAAAGCAUCUAAGCACGAAACUUGCCCCGAGAUGAGUUCUCCCUGAGACUAUAAGUCUCCUGAAGGAACGUUGAAGACGACGACGUUGAUAGGCCGGGUGUGUAAGCGCAGCGAUGCGUUGAGCUAACCGGUACUAAUGAACCGUGAGGCUUAACCUUACAACGCCAAAGAAGU